rnacentral:tRNA from 1 species
AGGAUUAGUGUAUUAGCAUUACUAAUUUCCGAUUAGUGGGUGAUUCCUG